CAUGAUUUUCAUUACAUCCUCAUAUACUUAGAGCCCAACAUCUUUAAGUCUAAAAAAAGUGACCAAAACAACCUUCCGUCAACUUUUCCAUCUUCUCCGAGGGAAUCUUUUUCCUCACUUCAGUUAUCUCUCUGUUUUGUUCAAAAAAGUUCCACUCUUCAAAGGUUUU